rnacentral:rRNA from 1 species
GAUGAACGCUGGCGGCAUGCCUAACACAUGCAAGUCGAACGAAGCUGCUCGGAAAGAGAUUUCGGUCAAUUGAAGAGUAGACUUAGUGGCGAACGGGUGAGUAAUGCAUGAGCAACCUGCCCUUCAGUGGGGGAUAACAGCCGGAAACGACUGCUAAUACCGCAUUACAUUUUCGAGAGGCAUCUCUUGAAAAUCAAAGAUUUAUUGCUGAAGGAUGGGCUCAUGUCUGAUUAGUUAGUUGGUGAGGUAACGGCUCACCAAGACCGCGAUCAGUAGCCGGUCUGAGAGGAUGAACGGCCACAUUGGGACUGAGAUACGGCCCAGACUCCUACGGGAAGCGGCAGUGGGGAAUAUUGGGCAAUGGGCGAAAGCCUGACCCAGCAAUGCCGCGUGAAGGAAGAAGGCCUUCGGGUUGUAAACUUCUUUUAUCAGGGACGAAGAAAGUGACGGUACCUGAUGAAUAAGCUCCGGCUAACUACGUGCCAGCAGCCGCGGUAA